GCUUACCAUGCCAGUCGAGCGGAGAGGUCCUUCAGGGUACUCGAGCGGCGAACGGGUGAGUAACACGUGAGCAACCUGCCCCAGGCUUUGGGAUAACCCCGGGAAACCGGGGCUAAUACCGAAUAUGACCUCUGACCGCAUGGUUGGUGGUGGAAAGUUUUUCGGCUUGGGAUGGGCUCGCGGCCUAUCAGCUUGUUGGUGGGGUGAUGGCCUACCAAGGCGACGACGGGUAGCCGGCCUGAGAGGGCGACCGGCCACACUGGGACUGAGACACGGCCCAGACUCCUACGGGAGGCAGCAGUGGGGAAUAUUGCACAAUGGGCGGAAGCCUGAUGCAGCGACGCCGCGUGAGGGAUGACGGCCUUCGGGUUGUAAACCUCUUUCAGCAGGGACGAAGCGUAAGUGACGGUACCUGCAGAAGAAGCGCCGGCCAACUACGUGCCAGCAGCCGCGGUAAGACGUAGGGCGCGAGCGUUGUCCGGAUUUAUUGGGCGUAAAGAGCUCGUAGGCGGCUUGUCGCGUCGACCGUGAAAACUUGGGGCUCAACCCCAAGCCUGCGGUCGAUACGGGCAGGCUAGAGUUCGGUAGGGGAGACUGGAAUUCCUGGUGUAGCGGUGAAAUGCGCAGAUAUCAGGAGGAACACCGGUGGCGAAGGCGGGUCUCUGGGCCGAUACUGACGCUGAGGAGCGAAAGCGUGGGGAGCGAACAGGAUUAGAUACCCUGGUAGUCCACGCUGUAAACGUUGGGCGCUAGGUGUGGGGGGCCUCUCCGGUUCCCUGUGCCGCAGCUAACGCAUUAAGCGCCCCGCCUGGGGAGUACGGCCGCAAGGCUAAAACUCAAGGAAUUGACGGGGGCCCGCACAAGCGGCGGAGCAUGCGGAUUAAUUCGAUGCAACGCGAAGAACCUUACCUGGGUUUGACAUGGCCGCAAAACUGUCAGAGAUGGCAGGUCCUUCGGGGGGCGUCACAGUGGUGCAUG
rnacentral:rRNA from 1 species